GACGAACGCUGGCGGCGUGCUUAACACAUGCAAGUCGAACGGUGAAAGCGGAGCUUGCUCCGCUGGAUCAGUGGCGAACGGGUGAGUAACACGUGGGCAACCUGCCCCUCACUCUGGGAUAACUCCGGGAAACCGGGGCUAAUACCGGAUACGACCUGGUGCGACAUCGCACCGGGUGGAAAGAACUUCGGUGAGGGAUGGGCCCGCGGCCUAUCGGCUUGUUGGUGGGGUAACGGCCCACCAAGGCGACGACGGGUAGCCGGCCUGAGAGGGCGACCGGCCACACUGGGACUGAGACACGGCCCAGACUCCUACGGGAGGCAGCAGUGGGGAAUAUUGCGCAAUGGGCGAAAGCCUGACGCAGCGACGCAGCGUGAGGGACGAAGGCCUUCGGGUUGUAAACCUCUUUCAGCGGGGACGAAGCGAAAGUGACGGUACCCGCAGAAGAAGCACCGGCUAACUACGUGCCAGCCGCCGCCGUAA
rnacentral:rRNA from 1 species